rnacentral:rRNA from 2 species
UGCGCAGCUAUAAUGCAAGUCGAGCGGACCUCUUCGGAGGUCAGCGGCGGACGGGUGAGUAACACGUGGGCAACCUGCCUGUAAGACUGGGAUAACUCCGGGAAACCGGAGCUAAUACCGGAUACUAUGUCAAACCGCAUGGUUUGACAUUCAAAGACGGUUUCGGCUGUCACUUACAGAUGGGCCCGCGGCGCAUUAGCUAGUUGGUGAGGUAACGGCUCACCAAGGCGACGAUGCGUAGCCGACCUGAGAGGGUGAUCGGCCACACUGGGACUGAGACACGGCCCAGACUCCUACGGGAGGCAGCAGUAGGGAAUCUUCCGCAAUGGACGAAAGUCUGACGGAGCAACGCCGCGUGAGUGAUGAAGGUUUUCGGAUCGUAAAACUCUGUUGUCAGGGAAGAACAAGUGCCGGAGUAACUGCCGGCGCCUUGACGGUACCUGACCAGAAAGCCACGGCUAACUACGUGCCAGCAGCCGCGGUAAUACGUAGGUGGCAAGCGUUGUCCGGAAUUAUUGGGCGUAAAGCGCGCGCAGGCGGUUUCUUAAGUCUGAUGUGAAAGCCCCCGGCUCAACCGGGGAGGGUCAUUGGAAACUGGGAAACUUGAGUGCAGAAGAGGAGAGUGGAAUUCCACGUGUAGCGGUGAAAUGCGUAGAGAUGUGGAGGAACACCAGUGGCGAAGGCGACUCUCUGGUCUGUAACUGACGCUGAGGCGCGAAAGCGUGGGGAGCGAACAGGAUUAGAUACCCUGGUAGUCCACGCCGUAAACGAUGAGUGCUAAGUGUUAGAGGGUUUCCGCCCUUUAGUGCUGCAGCUAACGCAUUAAGCACUCCGCCUGGGGAGUACGGUCGCAAGACUGAAACUCAAAGGAAUUGACGGGGGCCCGCACAAGCGGUGGAGCAUGUGGUUUAAUUCGAAGCAACGCGAAGAACCUUACCAGGUCUUGACAUCCUUUGCCACUUCUAGAGAUAGAAGGUUCCCCUUCGGGGACAAGUGACAGGUGGUGCAUGGGUGUCGUCAGCUCGUGUCGUGAGAUGUGGGUAAGUCCCGCACGAGCGCAACCCUUGAUCUAGUUGCCAGCAUUCAGUGGGCACCUCUAGGUGACUGCCGGUGACAACCGAGGAAGGUGGGGGAUGACGUCCAU